rnacentral:rRNA from 1 species
GAUGAACGCUAGCGAUAGGCUUAACACAUGCAAGUCGAGGGGCAGCACAUGAGUGGCAACACGAUGGUGGCGACCGGCGCACGGGUGAGUAACACGUAUGCGACCUGCCCAUAACUGGGGGAUAACCCGUCGAAAGGCGGACUAAUACCGCAUGACAACGAUGAUCCGCAUGGUGAUUCGUUUAAAGAUUUAUCGGUUAUGGAUGGGCAUGCGUUCCAUUAGGUAGUUGGCAGGGUAACGGCCUACCAAGCCUACGAUGGAUAGGGGUUCUGAGAGGAAGGACCCCCACACUGGUACUGAGACACGGACCAGACUCCUACGGGAGGCAGCAGUGAGGAAUAUUGGUCAAUGGGCGAGAGCCUGAACCAGCCAAAUCGCGUGAAGGAUGAAGGUAUUAUGUAUUGUAAACUUCUUUUGUCGGGGAAUAAAGUGCAGCACGUGUGCUGUUUUGUAUGUACCCGAAGAAUAAGGAUCGGCUAACUCCGUGCCAGCCGCCGCCGUAAUAC